UACGUAGGGGGCAAGCGUUGUCCGGAAUCAUUGGGCGUAAAGAGCGUGUAGGCGGCCCGAUAAGUCCGCUGUGAAAGUCCAGGGCUCAACCCUGGGAUGCCGGUGGAUACUGUCGGGCUCGAGUCCGGAAGAGGAGUGUGGAAUUCCUGGUGUAGCGGUGAAAUGCGUAGAGAUCGGGAGGAACACCAGUGGCGAAGGCGGCUACCUGGACCAGCACUGACACUGAGGCACGAAAGCGUGGGGAGCAAACAGG
rnacentral:rRNA from 1 species